rnacentral:rRNA from 1 species
AUUGAACGCUGGCGGCAGGCUUAACACAUGCAAGUCGAACGAGUGGCGGACGGGUGAGUAAUGCUUGGGAAUCUAGCUGAUGGAGGGGGAUAACUACGGGAAACUGUAGCUAAUACCGCGUACCAUAGGAUGAGCCCAAGUGGGAUUAGGUAGUUGGUGAGGUAAAGGCUCACCAAGCCGACGAUCUCUAGCUGGUCUGAGAGGAGGACCAGCCACACUGGGACGGAGACACGGCCCAGACUCCUACGGGCGGCAGCAGUGGGGAAUAUUGGGCAAUGGGGGCAACCUGACGCAGCCAUCCCGCGUGAAGGAAGAAGGCCUUCGGGUUGUAAAGUUCUUUUGGUAGCAAGGCGUUACCUACAGAAGAAGCACCGGCUAACUCCGUGCCAGCAGCCGCGGUAAUAC